CCCACUCGGAUCAUUAGGAUUUGGAACGAAUCGUUUCUUCGAAUUUUGAAAAACAAAACCGAGGCUUCGUGACGACUGAAGCCUCUAGAAACGGUAAUGCUGGUGGUGUCUGUCUAGAGAUUCCGGCUAUCCCCCCACUAAACUAAUAAGCUGUUCCUUAUUCGAUUCGCUCUUCAAAGUUCAAACGCAAGCAAAUUGGAAGUUGGAACAAGAAACUCCGGAGUUAGAAUCGGUGGAACUGCUGAAGGGGAGAGAAACGAAAAACCAUUUUAAUGGCAGAGAAGUUGGCACCGGAGAAGCGUCACAGCUUCAUGCAUGGAGGUCAGAAGGUAUUUGAAUGGGAUCAAACACUUGAGGAGGUUAACAUGUAUAUCACUCUUCCGCCCAAUGUUCCUACAAAGCUAUUCUACUGUAAGAUACAGUCCAAGCACGUUGAAGUUGGGAUCAAAGGAAACCCACCUUAUCUUAACAAUGAUCUCUCCAGCCCUGUGAUGACUGAUUCAUCAUUCUGGACUCUGGAGGAUGGUACUAUGCACAUAACACUGCAGAAGAGAGAUAAAGGGCAGACGUGGUCUUCUCCCAUAUUGGGUCAGGGCCAGCUUGAUCCUUACGCAGCUGAUCUUGAACAGAAACGCCUUAUGCUCCAGAGAUUCCAAGAAGAGGGAUGGCAGAACUGUAAAUAGUGAAAGUGCACUUUAAGUCACAAAGGAAGACACGUGUGGAGCAAGGGUCUAAUUGGAAAUAAGGAAAAUAUGAGGAUAAAAGAAUUAAGAUAGGGAGGGGUAGUUCUGGAAAAAGAGAAAUUAUAAAGAAGAGAGAAAACAAAUUGAUGGGUUGGGGUUUGGAUUACCAAUAAAAGAAAGUAUCUCUCCUUGAAGACUGCGAGCAAAUAGCGGAGGAUUUGAGGCGAGCAACGGCUACGGAAACUAGAACCCAGGUUUUGACUUCUCUCAGGCACAAUUUACUGGAAACUGCCCUGAUCCACGGACAUUCAUGGGUGGGAUCCGCUCUGACUGACGAUCUUGAUAUGCUGCAUCAAACAAUCCUUAUCAGCUAAUUGUGAUCU